rnacentral:rRNA from 1 species
UAGGGAAUCUUCGGCAAUGGACGACAGUCUGACCGAGCAACGCCGCGUGAGUGAAGAAGGUUUUCGGAUCGUAAAACUCUGUUGUUAGAGAAGAAUAAGGACGUUAGUAACUGAACGUCCCCUGACGGUAUCUAACCAGAAAGCCACGGCUAACUACGUGCCAGCAGCCGCGGUAAUACGUAGGUGGGAAGCGUUGUUCGGAUUUAUUGGGCGUAAAGCGAGCGCAGGCGGUUUCUUAAGUCUGAUGUAAAAGCCCCCGGCUCAACCGGGGAGGGUCAUUGGAAACUGGGAGACUUGAGUGCAGAAGAGGGGAGUAGAAUUCCAUGUGUAGCGGUAAAAUGCGUAGAUAUAUGGAGGAACACCAGUGGCGAAGGCGGCUCUCUGGUCUGUAACUGACGCUGAGGCUCGAAAGCGUGGGGAGCAAACAGG